rnacentral:rRNA from 1 species
CCUACGGGAGGCAGCAGUGAGGAAUAUUGGUCAAUGGGCGCGAGCCUGAACCAGCCAAGUAGCGUGAAGGAUGACUGCCCUACGGGUUGUAAACUUCUUUUAUAAAGGAAUAAAGUGAGGCACGUGUGCCUUUUUGUAUGUACUCUAUGAACAAGGAUCGGCUAACUCCGUUCCAGCAGCCGCGGUAAUACGGAGGAUGCGAGCGUUAUCCGGUUUUUUUGGGUUAAAAGGGGGCGCGGGCGGUCUGUAAAGUCAGCGGUCAAAGCCCGGGGCUUAACCCCGGCCCGCCGUUGAAACUGGCAGUCUCGAGUUGGAGAGAAGUAGGCGGAAUGCGCGGUGUAGCGGUGAAAUGCAUAGAUAUCGCGCAGAACUCCGGUUGCGAAGGCGGCAUGCCGGAUACAAACUGACGCUGAGGCACGAAAGCGUGGGUAUCGAACAGGAUUAGAUACCCUGGUAGUC